rnacentral:lncRNA from 1 species
AAAAGCAUAAAAAAUCGGUCAGUUUUUUUUAAUUUCCAGCAAAGUAUAUAAACAAAGUAAAUUAGUUUACCUUACCACACAUACUUCGACGGAGACAAUUGAAGGAACUGUCUUUAGUUUGUAAGUGUCUGUUGAUUUUCAUAUUAUUCUUACAAGGCUUUAAAUAGAUCUGCAAUGCUUCAACAACUUAGCAAGAUUAUGAAAAAUGUCGUAUAUUGUUCUGAUAUUUUUGUUUACUAGCUUACACAACUUUGAAUAAUUUUAAUACUAAGGUUUUUUUUCUAUCUCAGGAGUAGAUUACAUCAGCUGUUUUUUGAAACACCUUAGGAUUUUUUUUAUAAAUAUUUAAAUACAUGAAAAUAAACUAUAUAAUUAUGUAUUUAAUGAUACGGUAGGUCACUGAUUCUCUGAAGAUAUAUACUGUUACAAAAAUAGAAGAGUGUGUACUAGAGAUAAUAUUGAGAUGUUUGGAUUGCUUAAGGACUGUUCUUAUUUAUCUCUGAAGAUUUAUGUUGUUACAAGAAAAGUUGUAUUGAGAUAUGGAUUGGUUGGACUCGUUUUUGUAUUUAAACAUACAUGGAUAUUUGGAAUAUUUUUGACUCCUAGUAAUCCUCACAUAUCUUUUUGUUAGUAAAUCCUCACAUAUCUUUUUGUCUAUCUUCUUACAUUAAAUAACUGGGCCUAAUUUUCAAUUAAUGUCGUAGGAUUAUUAAUAUAUUUUCUUUAUUGAUGUUUGACAAAAAUGUAGACAUUUUAUAUUUGAGAUCCAAAUUUAAUGGUUUAUCUCCCUAUACAUGGAACUAUUAAAGGAAAUUUCUACAUUCUACGGGCUUUUGUCAGAACUAUACUAGUAGGACAUUGGACGUUCAGUGAAAAAUAGUUCCAUUGUGUUUUUUUUUUCAGAUGUCACUACUAUAAAACAUUUGCUAUCAAAAUUAUCUUAGUACUAUGGAUUAGCAUUAUUUCAACUCAAUCGUUGGGUCAUAUUCAGCCAAUCAAGCACUAUUUUUUGCGCAUUGGUCGGGUUGGUUUAUCUUUGACAAAUUUCCCAUUUCAUUCCAAACUAUAUUACAGAAUUUGGAAUAACUCAGAAUUCAACAAAACUAUGGUAUAUCUUUAAUAUAAUAUUUGGAAAUGAUGUGUUAAAUAACAUUGUGUAUUGUAGUGUUUUAUACCAUGAAAAUGUACUUAAUUCGUUUUGUUUUAUUCAAAAACAAAUGAACGAAAAAUUUCUACAUAUCUUUUUUCUUAACCUUAGUUAAGGAUAUUGCACUUUUAAAAUAUACAAUUUUAUUACUUUAGAAAAGGAAAAAUGUGUAGUAUUAGAAAAAGAACAAUGUAUAGUAAAAGAAAAGGAACAAUGUGGAGUAUAAGAAAAAGAACAAUGUACGGUAUAAGAAAAGGAACAAUGUGCAGUAUUAGAAAAAGAACAUAUUACAUAAUUAUAACAUUCGCAUGAUGCAUUCAAUACAGGAAGUUUUGUAUUAAUAAAGUUCUAUCAGAAUUCGUUUUUUUAUAUAAUUUCCUACAGAAUAUAUUCGGAAAAAUCGUAUCCUACAUUAUUAUAUGUCAUCUAGGUGAGGAAAUCCUCUGCAAGAUGAAAAUAGGCAAGAUUCUGUGUGCGAUGUUCAUGAUGCUAAUGUCAGUUUUAGCAGGAGCAGCUAGUGGAGCCUACUAAUGGACGACUGGACAUCAACAGGUCUACCACCACUUCCAGGACUUGAAUUUCACAGAGAAAAACGAGAUGCUAAUGCCAACAAUCUAGAUAGAAUGGUAAGGUUUCCAGUAAUUACGUAAAGAACAAUUAUUCCUUAUAUUAAGUUUUAAAAUAACAACAACAACAACUACUACUACUACUAUAACUACUACAACUACUACUUUUAUUACAACAACAAAAACAACCACUAAUACAUCAACAACAACAACAUAAUAAUAAUAAUAAUAAUAACAAUAAUAAUAAUAAUAAUAAUAAUAAUAAUAAUAAUAAUAAUGAUAAUAAUAAUAAUAAUAAUAAUAAUAAUAGUUAAAAUAAUGAUAAUAAUAUUAUGAUAAUGAUAAUAAUAAUGAUAAAAUAAUAAUGAUAAUAAUAACAACACAAUCAAUAAUAAUCGUUUUUUUUUCAGUUAAAAAGAGGCUAGUUGGUCUGUGGCACAACAAACUGGAUCUUUCAUCAUUAAAUAAAAGAAGUUGAACUAAAUUUUAUUUAUCGUUGAUCUAUAUAUAUUGUUUUGUU